GAAGCAGAAGAAGAGGAGGAGACGAAGGAGGACGAGGUGGUGGUGGUGGUGAAAGAAGAGGAAGCACAAACUGGUAGUGAGUGGUCGGGUGUUUGGUACUUGCGAGUCUUGUGUCCUACUACUAUCUGGAUGGGGAAAUCCGUCCGUCUCUGCCACUGAGAGAUUCUAACCUGCCACAUGCGUGGAUUGAGCACGACUGAAUCACUCACGAAUUCCUGGCUUUGAGAACGAAAAGCAAAGGGCGGGAGAGGAGGAAGAGGAGGAGGAGGAGGAGAAGGAGGAAAAGCAGCGAUGAGUUCAAGAUCCAAGUCCAUUUUGGGGCCAGGCCUAGCAAGCCGGAAAGUGUGGUAAGAUGUACGCCGUGUCAUCCCAGUGAAAAGUUGAAAACGCGCAUGCAGAGGGCAUAAUCCUUUGCAAACCAUGUGGUCUCUUGCACCUGAGGAACUCAAAUCGGCAACACUGACUCAAUUUCCGUUCCACUUUUGGGAACCGCGCUUGUCUCAGUCUGGGUUCUGACGCUCAAGCAAGAAAGCGCUCGUCGAACAUGGAACAAACAGUCGUCAAUAGACCGUUCCACGGCAAGUGGUAACUUUGGAACGAACGAGCGCUAGCGCAAAUGGAGACCAUGGUGACUGACCAAGUCAGUCCUUAAACAAGUCAAGGUGUCUUUCUAAUUACCACUAUGCAACAAAAACUUGUGUAGAUGAAACCAUUUGGAAACCAGAUCAAUGAUGAAGCUAAAUUAAGAACAAGAAUAAAAGCUUUGAAAAAAAUAAUCAUAAUGGAUCAA